GUUGUUUUUCCCCAAAAUGUGAAAUGUGAACCCUAAAAUCUCAAUUUUCUCUCUAACUCACACUAAGCUUCUAUUGGAUUUCACCUUCAGCGACAAGGGAUUCAAGAUUUUCUGAGAGGUUCUUCGGUGGUGGUUUCUACUCCGACGAGUGACGUUGAUAACGGAGGUUGCGGCGGUUGCUAUAGUAGCUAGAGGACUGCAAUUAUUCUAUUCUCACUUUCGAUUUUAACAAUUUCACCAGAUUUCACCUUCUCUACUCCGAUCUUCUUUGUGCAAACUCUUCUCUCGACUCUUUUUGAGGUUGCUUAAAAAUGUUGGAGAUUGGAUAUUAAUUACAGUCUGAAGUGUCUAUGAAUGUGCCUGAUGAUGUACAUGUAUUUUGCAACUCCUUUUAAUAAGAUGGAUAUCUUUGUUAGUUCUGUAAUAUGUAUGGCAAUUUUAUAGUGUCUUUUGUGUGUUCAAGAAAUUUUAUAACACUGAUAUGGGUGUGUCGGCUACGUGAACUAUAACACCCUAGGAAAAUAGUAUGGACUUAAGUUCGAGGUUUUGUAUAUGCUUUAUGUUUGCGUUUUAUAAGCUGACUGC